rnacentral:tRNA from 1 species
UCCCUGAUGGUCCAGUGGUUAGGACUCUGCUCUUCUGCUGCAGGGGGCAUGGGUUCAGUCCCUGUUUGGGGAA